GUUCCGUUUUUUUUCUUUAAUUUAAAACCCAUUUAGGGUUAGAACAACACAAACCCCUAACAUAAAAACUUCAGAGAAUAAAGUAACUGGCCUCCACCUUCAGCAACAUCAGAGUCAGAAUCAACAACGGCGCCUCCACCUCCGCCGACACCGGCCGUCCUCCGCCUCCACCUUCCGACCACCUCCACCAUUGUUCAUUCUUUCAAAUCUUUUCUGGAUUUUCUAGGUGUAUUUCUUGUAAAUUUUGGAGAAAAAAGGUAAAUCUUUAUGAUGAACCCUUCUUCAUUUUGACAUUUCUAUUAAUCUUUCGCAGAAAAGAAAUCCAAAUGAUUUUGGUACAUUUAUAUGAACAUAUCUGUGUGCCCCUGUUGCUGAGUCUUGUUUGAAGGGGGUAUUUGUGUUGUGAUUUGAAAAAAAGUUUACAAAUUUGCAAUAAACCCUUUUCAAUUUUUUGUUUUGAAUCUGUGAAAAAAACGUCUGAAAUUUACACCAUUUUGCUUCAAUCAUACAUGUAUAAAGCAUAUAUGUGUAUCAUCAGCAAGGUGUCCUUUUAAUGUUUCCUAUUUCAUAUUUGAACUGUUUAUUUUUGAACUCUGAAUUUAAAUUCAAGAAUGUUUAAUCCAAUUUCAGGUCUAUAUUGUUGAACAUAGCAAUUAGAUGGUAAUUAUUAAUUUAAUUAAGCUUAGUCGAACAGAAACGAUUAAGAGAAUCUCUUAGCUAAUAAUCAAUAGAAAUGGUUCGGUUAGAGCUUUGGUAGUUGAACCGGUUGUUCAAUUAGAUGCUUUUGUGGUGGAACCGGCAUUAAAUAGUGCUUAUUUAUUCAUCUUUUUAUGCUUCAUGUGUUUUUAGAGACGGAGAUAAAUAGUGGGAUAUGAAAAAAUAUUGACUUUAGUGAUAAUGCCCGAUCCAACCCGAAAAUUCGAACGUUUGAGUUGACCAAAACUUAAACACCUAAAAAGUGAACCCAGUGAAAAAAAAUUCUGGAUCCGCCACUGGGUGGGGAGGACUAUGACUAGGACCAUCCUCCCAUACCCUCUACUUUUGGGGGAUGGAGUAUCCUUGGGAGGACUAUGACGUGACGCCUACGUGACGGAUCAUCCUCCCUUGGAGGACCAUCACCAUACCCUCUAGCCUUAUCUUUUUGUGGUCACGAUGACUUAUAAGAUUCUUUAAAUAGAUGAAUUAUAUUUGGAAUUAUUAUAUUUUUUUGGAUAACAAAAUGAAACUAUUGGUAAUGUUGCAUCAGGGAAUGCACGUAACGAAGAUUAACAAAUGACAUAUAAAAAAUACGUAAAGACAAUCGUAAUCAUUUUGCAUAAGAAGUGCUAAAUAGAUGCUUUUAUGAUAUGAUGAUAAAUGUGGAGUUGUUAAAGAGUGAUUUACUGGUCUUGUUCAUGCCUUGGAAACAUAUGCAUUAUCUUCCAAAUCUUCUGUUAAUGAUUUGUUUGCCCGAUAUGAAUUGAGCAUAACUAAUGUUAGAGGUUAAGGUUAUGAUUAAACAAGUAAUAUUGUUGUGAGCUAAACGGUUUGAGAGAUUUAAUUUUGAAAAAGAAAACAGUCCUUCAGUGAGUGUUUUGAUAUGGUAUACACCUUGACAAAUGUUGUAUGUGCAUCUUGCAAAUGCCAAUACAUGCUUUGAGAAAGUCAAAAAGAGAAAUUGAAAGAGGCAAUGGGAUUUGAUACUUUUAAAUCAUGAAAUUUCUUUUGCAAGAGUUUGGGAUACAAGUUGGAAUUUUCAUUAUAAUACACUUACACAUUUGGAAGAAGUUUGCUCUGUGUGUGAAGUAUAUGACAUUAAAAUGAUCAAUAUGAAUGACAAUAACUUAAGAAAAAAAAAAGACAAAGAACUAAUAUCACAACUAUUAUGAGUUAAUCUAUUUCAAAACGAUGUUAGAUAUGCAAAUUAAAGAGUUUGGGAAAUGUUUUAAUGCGGUAACAUCCUAUGAUAAAUUCGAGAGAUUUAAUAUAUCAAAUAUACUUAAGUCAUAAGCCAAGAUGUAUCAUAUGAUUUUUAUCUUUUUGUUCUUUAUUAUUUUAUAACAAACUGUAUUAGUGUCGGUUUUUACCUUCAUGUACUGAUACCGAAUAGGAUCGUACCGGUAUUUUUUAUACCAGUACUGGUUCGAUAUCGGUUGACACCAAUCUUAUCCCAACCUCUGAUAUUAAAAAAAGAAUUAAAGUUAAAAAGUAAAGAAAAGAAGUAUUAUUAUAAUAUUAAAAAUAAUAAAGUAUUAAAAAACUAUAUAUUAUUAUAAUAGUAAAAUCACUAUUCAUUUCAAUUCGUUUAGUAAUAUAUAGUAAAUAUAUAGUAAAUAGUAAAUAUAUAGUAAUAGUAAUAGUAAUAUAUAUAUCUAUAAUACUAUAUAAUAUAUCUCAUAUGUACUAAAAGGUAAUUUACUCCUGAAAUUUUAAGAUGGCAGUCGAAGGGUCAUGCCUUAUUCCCUGUUUUUUCAUCAUCUUCUCCCAAUUUUACCCCCCAAUUCAAUGGAUUACGCCCACAAUCAAGUCUACAUCUGAAUAACACUGCUGCUAAGAUGACGCAAAGCGUCACUGCAAUUAGUAAUACAUCAAUUAGGUCACAUCAAUUCUGGACGAUUGGAUGGCAGCAACCCUAAUCCUCCCGGUGAAGAAGACGAACCGUACAAACGAGGCGAGAUUAUUCACCGUCGUUGCCAACCCCACUGCUACUGUCUGACGCGAUGGUUGUUACUUGCGGACUCAUUGAAGAUGAACGAAGGCGAGAUUAUUCAACACAUUCGGCGGACCACAUGUAUGAGUUUUCAAUUUUGAGUUGUGAAACAAAAAGGUUUAAAUUAUCGUAUCGAAUCCCAGAUUUGAUUGGUAACUACUAAUGCUCGGCUCGUCAUCUUGGGUUCUGAUCGAGUCAUCAUCUAGGAUUCUGAUUGACAACCUUCAAUUGCCUGGUGAAUUUUAGUUCGAAUUAAUCGACUCAUUGCUGUUUUACUAGGAAAUUUUGAAGAACCCUUGAAAAGCUUCAUCUGGGUUUUUGACAAGGUGCCCUUUUAGAAGUCUGUUUGAUUUUAUUACAUAACUUUUGCUUAUAUUCAAGUUCAUUCUGAUUAUUGUUGCUAAUACAGGGAGUAUGCAGUAAGAUUAAUGGAUUAAAACAGGUCUAGGUUACAUGGUCAUUUUUAGUACAGGCUAGAAUGAACUGUGUUAACCCACAGUUACAUUUUGUUGAUUUUUUUUUUCAUAGUGAUAAUAGCAUAUUAUGAUUAAAAAUCAAAAUUACAUUGUUAUGAAAUAGGCAAAGAAUCUUUUAAAAGAAGAAUUCAUUCAUAAUUUCAUAUAUUGCGUAGGAAGGGCACCGGAUUCUUUAGAGGAAGCUCGAAAUAUUAAAGAGUGACUCUUCAUAAAUUGGCAGAUGGGUGACAUAACUUUUGCUUAUGUUCGAGUUGAUUGUGAUUAUCGUCGUUAAUAUAGGGAGACUUCCCUCACUGGGUUGAUUGUUUAACCACUUUUAUGUCUUUUUUAACAAAUACAUUAAACCAAGGAAAGAUUUGCAACUUCAUAUCUUGCAAAGUGGAGUGUUUGGGUUGGGUGUCUAAUAGUGUGUUUAUGGUAGAUUUUGUUUUCUUUUGUAUAAUUAAUGAACGAACUGAUGAGUUUGGCCUUCUAAUUAUCAAGAAAUGGUCAUGCUUGGAGGAUUCUACAUGGGAAUAAUAUAUUUUCAGGUAUGCUUUACUUGGAGCUGCCUCAUUCUUUGGAGGUUUAAUGCGAAUGGCAGUUACCCUAUGUGCUAUUAUCGUUGUAAUUUAUUAAUAGUUUUAAACUUUUACCUCUUAUCAUGCUUGUUUGAUUUGCCGGUACAGAACAAGUUGGACCCACAUCUGAAAAAAAAAAUGAAUACAUUAGUGAAACAAGCAACACUGAGGAUUUUGAAUUGGAUUAUUUGCUUGUUGAACCAUUUUUGGUGCUUCUACCAGUGACUUCAAAUUUGAUGGAAAUACAUUCCUUAAAGAAGAUGACCUUUUGAUGUUCAGCCAGAACCCAGCUUUGACAAUUUCCUAAGUAUUCAUUGUUUCUUAUGCCACCAAUCCAAUAGCUUGGAAUACAAUUCUUGAUUCAUUCGAUAACGAAUAUAUUUUCGAGUAUUCAGAAUUCAAAAAAUGAAACUCAUAAAGUGAGUGAACUGAAAAACAAUGAUGUUGCUUCCACUUCAAACCAAGAGCAUCCAGAUUCAGCAAUGGGUAACAUGGAAGGAACCCAUGUCAUUAUUUUUGGCUACGAUCAAAAUGGAAAAAAAAAGAAUGUCAUGGGAUUGACCCGACAAGUGUGGGCCCCACUAAGGGUAUCAUCAGCUCCUCAUUUAGUCCAAUUAGGCGUCAGUUUAAAAUGGUGAUUGGGUCGACCUUUUGACAUCACACGGGCCAAAGGUCUACCAAGUUUACAUAGUCACCUGUGUUUCUGAUUUUUGGCUACGAUCGAUCAUUCGUGUUUCUUUUUUUUUCUGUGUAAAGCAUCGACCAGGUGUUGAUCACCAACACCAACAUCAUUUACAUUUUAGUUCACCUACUCGAUCAUAAAAAUGGAAACAAAAAAAGAUGUGUCAUAGGACUGACCCGACAAGUGUGGGCCCUACUAAGGGUAACGGAGUAGGCGAAGUGAAGCAAGCAACAUGGGUAAAUUUGGAAAAACAACCUGCUGAUGAUGGUAACCUGUGUUAUGCCAUUCCAGAGGAUGCUGACUGAGGAUGAUAAUUGGACUGACCAGUGCAUUGACUUUGCAGUCAAAACAUUUGCAAAUGAAAUUUUGUUUAAUGGUCAGCCAAGUGGAGACUACAGGUGAAAUUUUGAUAAACUAACGUAAAUUAUCGACUCCGCUGCAACGCGCGUAAGCUUUAGAGGCAAAAGGGUGCUUAAGGUAUAUUAUGUUUUUUUGGUAACCCAUAACAUGUUCGCUUCGUUUGCAGCUCUAUGUACAUGUAAAUAAGUUUGAUUUUUCCAAGCAAUUUAACUUUUUAAACUAUUAUGGCAACAAGAAGUAUGCAUACCCGAGACCAGUGGCAGUGGCUGCGGCUCAAGUAGUGAUGUCGUGUUCACUUCUCUACUAUGUCGUUAGUGCACCAGGGGCGAUAUACAUUGUCUCAGUUGUGAUGGGAUCGUGUUACGGGGCCCAUUGGGCCAUUGUGCCAUCUGCUGUGUCAGAACUAUUCGGGCUAAAGAGUUUUGGUGCAUUGUAUAACUUUCUUACACUUGCUACCCCAGCCGGUUCACUAAUUUUCUCCGGCGUCAUUGCUAGCGGCAUUUAUGACUAUGAAACCAAGAUUCAAAGUGCUACAAACCUUAACACGCUCACAGAUGGCGAAGCACUGACGUGCUAUGGAACCAUAUGCUACUCCAUCACUUGCGGAAUCUUUUCACUUCUUUGUCUCAUGGCAUUUGUCUUGAGUAUGAUUGUGCUGUAUAGGACUAAGAGAGUCUAUGCAAAACUUUACCGGAGUUCUUGAAGUUGGAUCGCGCUCUCGAACUAGACCGUGGUUGUAUCAUGUGUGUUAGACUCAUAGAUUUAACGUUUGGUAAAGAUGGAGCCAUUUAGAAUAUUGAUUCUUUGGUACACUGCUAAGUUCUUUUUUUUUUGGUUGUGCUGCAAAUUUAGUACACCAUUCAAGUUUUAUUUGUAGAAUGAACAAUAUGUACCACUUAUGCGUUUUGUGAUGGAUGUUAUAUAAAGAUGGUGUUUUGUUGA